UACUUGUGCUUACCUGUUGUCAUUAGGAAACCUGAAAAACUUCGCAGAAAUGGAAAUGCCGCUGUUAGAACACCACAGAGCCCCGCAAGGCAUACCAAGCCAUCUUCGUCUAAGGCUUGGUAGACCUGCUGGUUACCUGCUUCUUUCAUUCCUUGCACGCCUGAUCACGCUUCUCUGUCUUAUCUUUUCCAUCUUCAUACUUGGCGCAUAGAGAAAGGGAUUGAACAAGAGCGGACACUCGGCGAAAAUUGGAAACAGGAAACACGUCACGCUAUAGUAUUAACAUCGACGAAUUGGGGCCGCGAGCAUCGAAAAAAAGAAGAAUGUUAAAUGAGAUUAACAGAAAUUGUUUUAUUUUCUUUAUUCUUUCCCGCAAAAAUUAAAAAUAUCUGCGUAUAAAUUAAAUUAAACUUUGCGGCUUACUUCGGUUGCCUAGCGACAGGCGAACCGGCGAAUGACGAGCCAGAUGUUUGCGUCAUUCGUCAGACACACCGCCGAAGCGAGAGAGACCGGCCGCGCAUCUGAGCGUUGGACUGUUCGGGCACCCGUCUGCCUAUUUUUCUAUUUUGGGAUUUAGUCUGGUUUGGUGGCCUCCCGGCGAAUUAUUGCGUUCAUUCGGAACUUCGACAUGGCAGCACUGCACUAUUGGACUACGGCAAGCUCACGUCGUCUGGUGGAGCUUCCUGCGGAAACUGCUGCUUACCUGGUGCCACAACGCUGGAUGAAUGCACAAAAAGCCCGCGACGAGCAUUUACAGAAACCGAAAUAAACGUUAAUUUUUCCUCA